UACGUAGGGUGCGAGCGUUGUCCGGAAUUAUUGGGCGUAAAGAGCUUGUAGGCGGUCUGUCGCGUCUGCUGUGAAAACUCGGGGCUUAACCCCGGGCCUGCAGUGGGUACGGGCAGACUGGAGUGCGGUAGGGGAGAAUGGAAUUCCUGGUGUAGCAGUGAAAUGCGUAGAUAUCAGGAGGAACACCGAUGGCGAAGGCAGGUCUCUGGGCUGACACUGACGCUCAUGCACGAAAGCGUGGGGAGCAAACAGG
rnacentral:rRNA from 1 species